GGGGCGGGGCCAACGUGGGCCUGUGUGCGUGCGUGUAUGUGCGUAUGCGUAUGUGUGUGAGACUUAGAAGGAGAGUGUGUUUUCGCGCGCGAGUGUUUGUGAGAAAGACUGAGAGUGUGUGAGACUACAUUAUGUGAGAAAGACUUUGAGAGCGUGUGACACUAUGUGUGUGAAAGAGAUUGUAUAUGAGAGGCUCUGUGUAUGUGUGUGUGAGACUGUGAGAGAUUGUGUAUGAGAAAAAUUGUAUGUGCAUGAGACUGAGAGCUCACUUGGGUGUGAAAGACUGAUAGAAAGGGACUGUGUGAGAGAGAGUCUGUGAGAGAUACGGUGUGUUUAAGAGUGCGUUUAAGAGGGAGAGAGAACAGCGUGUGUCGGUGUGUAUGAGGGAGAAGCAAACACACACACACAGAAUUCUACAUUCCAUCAGGGCCCCUCUGUGCUUGCCUGGCACUGGCGGUGUGCCCGGGUGUGCUGCUGGCUGCCUGUCCUGAGUAGCUGUCCAUCCUUUGCAAGUAUGAUCUCCCACUCCUCUGGAGAAGAAUGAUAAGAGGGAAUUCCCGAGUAGCAACUUUCAAGGAUGAAUCGACCCACUGCAAUUGCAUCUUAGCCAUUAACCAAUGACUCAGGACCUUGAUAUAACCUUGAAGCCUGUGGAUAUUGCAGUGAUACCUCUCCUGCAAGCGGAACAGGGAUCUGCUAAAGCCUUAAGGAAUGUGAGGGGUUACCUCUUGUGGGAGGAGGAAGUUGGCUCUUUGAAAGUCACGAAGCAGCUUUCUAUUUCUGGAAUGUCCAAAUUUAUGAAGAAUAUAUUA
rnacentral:lncRNA from 1 species